rnacentral:rRNA from 1 species
GACGAACGCUGGCGGCGUGCUUAACACAUGCAAGUCGAACGAAGUGGCGAACGGGUGAGUAAUACGUGAGUAACCUGCCCUCCUUUUUGGGAUAAGCCUUGGAAACGGGGUCUAAUACCGAAUAAAGGGGGAUGGGCUCGCGGCCUAUCAGCUUGUUGGUGGGGUGAUGGCCUACCAAGGCGGUGACGGGUAGCCGGCCUGAGAGGGUGACCGGCCACGUUGCGACUUAGAUACCGGCCAGACUCCUACGGGAGGCAUCAGGGGGGGUUAUUGCACAAGGGGCGCAAGCCUGAUGCAGCGACGCCGCGUGGGGGAUGAAUGUUUUCGGGUUGUAAACCGCUUUCAGCCAUGACGCGGUAGUGGCAGAAGAAGCACCGGCUAACUACGUGCCAGCAGCCGCGGUAAUAC